rnacentral:tRNA from 1 species
GAGCGUAAGGCUUAGAUGGUCAGAGCACUUGGGAGGUUUUUCAAGAGGUACAGGUUCAAAUCCUGCUACGUUCA